rnacentral:rRNA from 1 species
CCUACGGGUGGCUGCAGUGGGGAAUAUUGCACAAUGGGCGCAAGCCUGAUGCAGCCAUGCCGCGUGUGUGAAGAAGGCCUUCGGGUUGUAAAGCACUUUCAGCGGGGAGGAAGGCGUUAAGGUUAAUAACCUUGGCGAUUGACGUUACCCGCAGAAGAAGCACCGGCUAACUCCGUGCCAGCAGCCGCGGUAAUACGGAGGGUGCAAGCGUUAAUCGGAAUUACUGGGCGUAAAGCGCACGCAGGCGGUCUGUCAAGUCGGAUGUGAAAUCCCCGGGCUCAACCUGGGAACUGCAUUCGAAACUGGCAGGCUAGAGUCUUGUAGAGGGGGGUAGAAUUCCAGGUGUAGCGGUGAAAUGCGUAGAGAUCUGGAGGAAUACCGGUGGCGAAGGCGGCCCCCGGGACAAAGACUGACGCUCAGGUGCGAAAGCGUGGGGAGCAAACAGGAUUAGAUACCCCAGUAGUC